rnacentral:RNase_P_RNA from 1 species
CUGGAAGGGCGGAGAAUCGCCUCCGGCCCCAGGCCGGGGGAGGAAAGUCCGAACUCCAUCGGGCGCGAUGCCGCGUAACCCAGCUUCAAACCGAAGCCGGGAUACACGCGGGCGGAACGCGUCAAGGCGUUUCGACGGAAAGUGCCACAGAAACUUAGACCGCCUCCAAGCCCCAAAGGCUUGGCGGCAAGGGUGAAAAGGUGGGGUAAGAGCCCACCGCCCGGAGCGUAAGCGACGGGGCACGGCAAACCCCAUCGGGAGCAAGGCCAAAUAGGAGCCCUUGGAGCUGCCCACUCCGCGCCGGUAACCCCGGCGCAGGGCUCGGGUACCGGCCGCUUAGACAAAUGAUUCUCUCCCCGGCUGCGGCCUCCGCAGCCGGGCAGACAGAAUUCGGCUUACAGCCCUUCCAGGCCA